GACGAACGCUGGCGGCGUGCUUAGCACAUGCAAGUCGAACGGAAAGGCCCUGCUUUUGUGGGGUGCUUGAGUGGCGAACGGGUGAGUAACACGUGAGUAACCUGCCCUUGACUUUGGGAUAACUUCAGGAAACUGGGGCUAAUACCGGAUAGGAGCUCCUGCUGCAUGGUGGGGGUUGGAAAGUUUCGGCGGUUGGGGAUGGACUCGCGGCUUAUCAGCUUGUUGGUGGGGUAGUGGCUUACCAAGGCUUUGACGGGUAGCCGGCCUGAGAGGGUGACCGGCCACAUUGGGACUGAGAUACGGCCCAGACUCCUACGGGAGGCAGCAGUGGGGAAUAUUGCACAAUGGGCGGAAGCCUGAUGCAGCAACGCCGCGUGCGGGAUGACGGCCUUCGGGUUGUAAACCGCUUUCGCCUGUGACGAAGCGUGAGUGACGGUAAUGGGUAAAGAAGCACCGGCUAACUACGUG
rnacentral:rRNA from 1 species